UAUGGCCAUAUCAUGUUCAAACACUAGUUCUUGUCCAAUCACUGAUAUUAAGCAAUGUUGAGCCUGGUCAGAACCUAGAUGGGUGACCACUUGGGAAUACCAGGUGCUGUAAG